rnacentral:pre_miRNA from 1 species
AAAGAUUUAAUUCUUGGGUUUCCGUGUUCAACGUUUGAUUGUCUGUCUUAUAUGAAAUUUUUUUUAUGAUUAGUAUUUUCAUUAUUGUUAGAUGAUAAAACAUGAAUAAUACUUUAUGCAUGACUUAUCUUUUAAAAUUUUUUUAAAGUUUUUUUAAAUAAGACGAACGGUCAAAGGUUAAACAUGAAAACCCAU